rnacentral:lncRNA from 1 species
AAUUGACACGUUAAACAUGACUGCCAAGUAGUCAUUCAUGUUGUUAAUUAGGCUUAAUCAAAAUUCUUUUGGACAAAAGCUUUAGACCUUAUCUUCAUAAGUCUUUAAAAACAAGUUUUUGGGACCUUCUUCCUCAUUUCUCACAAGCUCAAACAAGGGAGAGAGAAGUCUAUUUUCCUCUUCUUCCAAGCUUUAUACUAGUGUUCUUGAGGUUUCUUCCAUCAAAGCUUUGGUAAGGAGCUCUUAAUCUUCUUUCUCUUUUUGUUUUUCUUACCAAAUUCGUGCAAGCUUCUCAUUCAUUGUUCCAAAAUUUCAUUUUUAUUCUUAGAAGUUUGAGACAUCAAGGACUUGAGCCCCUUGUUCAUCUAAGUCAUUUCAUGUAACAUCAUUCAAGGUAGAGGGAGGGGUGGUCUUUCCACUUCUUGAACCUUAAACUUGUUGUCUUUGGAAGCUAGGCUUCAUUGCAUGUUGUUUUGAUGUUCAAAUAUUCGUUGCUACUGCCUUGGCUGAAACUAGAGGAUAUGUUGUUUUUUCGGAAAUUUUAAGGUUAAAAAUUAUUUCUUUGGGUGUUAAAGCUUAGGGCUAGCCUUAAAUUUCACUUAAAUUGGAAUUUUCUAGCAAAAUUUAUGAAUAAAACAAGUUUAAUGGCAUUUUGUAAAAUAUGAAUCGGUCAUGAAAUUGAACUGAUUGUUAUAACUGUAUGGACUAUUUUACUUAAAGUUUUGACCUCAAAAAUGAGUUUAUUAGGUGUGGAAAUCUAGGGUAACAUAUAAGAUUCAUGAAAAAUUGAUUCUCGGAACACCUAGAACACUGAAAAUAAGUUAGGAGCAAAACUUUGUAAGAAUGAGUGGAAGAGUAAUUUUAGACAGUAAACAACUUAACAUUGAGAUCCAUGCCUCUAGAUAAGUUAACUUAGAAUUAUUUAUUUUUUGAAACUAUUGAUUUAACUGCUGUAUUUUGCUGAAAUAAAUUGCAAGAUCUGAUAACUAAAGCAUGUUCUGGAAUUGUGAUGAUUCUUUGCUGAUAAAAAUUACAUUGAUGCAUGCAUGUAUAAUUACUACUAUUAUUGGUGAAUGAUAAAACCAACAGAGUGUGAACUCUGGCAAAUAAUAUCUCUAGCGUGCGAGCUUAUAUUCAACUAUAUAUCUGUAUAUUGUUAUUUUAUCUAUAUGCGUUGUGGUUUAGGUUCGGGGGUGUUCGACCCUUGGCAAAUUGUUUGUUAUGAUUGUUAGAUGGUUGUAAUCAUAGUUGUUAUGUUGUCCAAUUGUUUUGUUUGACAAGUGGUUUCUACCACUUAAGGGACCACAAUUGGUACCCUAAGAGUAUUACAUAGGCCUAAGCCUCAUCUCUCUUUCUUAUUUGUUUGUUUGUACGUAUUUGUUGAUGCACGUGACACGAGGGCUACACACGCGAUGCAGUGGCAGAAGUAAAAAGGAUUGGAUGAAGAGUAAGGAACUAAUAAUUCUAUUUUCUUAUGUGAGAAAGUGAGAUUAUAUUAAGAAAAUGGAUGAUAGACAAAGAUACACUAGGAUGCAGUGGGUAAAGAGGUUCAAAGAACUUGGGGGAAAUUAGUGAGUGGUGACUAUUUGACAUUUAGUGGGGGAAUUAGUAACUCACAUGCCUCACUUUGUUAAUUACUCCUGACAGACUUCGAGACUAUGCUUUUUAAGUUAGGAGCUUGGGGAUUAGUGUACGAUGUAUCUGUAUGUGAUGAUUACUCUCGAAUGUCAUCCACAUGAUUAUGUAUAAGACCAUUAAUACCUGGGAGGAUUGGUGGCAAAGGUUGGGCCCUAAUAGGUGAGAAGUGUGUUAGUAACACGCUUAGUAUCUCGAGAGUGUUGUUUGCUUAGAGAACCCACACAUAGUGGUUAAUUAGGUUGCAUGUUAUCUUUGUUCAACUACUAUGUGUUUGUGGGGUUUGAGGAAUGAAGGCACCCCUACAACCAACAACUUUCAAGUUCAGGAGAUGUCGAGGGAGAUGCUCCCUCUGUGAACUUGGUGUAGUAGGCAGACAUAAAAAGUGUGGUUGUGUCACGAUACAUAUACGUCAUUUUACAUGUGUCACACUCUGGUGCACAUGGUGCCAAUAAAUAGAACAUAUGUUAUGCCCAUCACCAUCAAUUACUUUUGGUAUUGCUACAUUCCUUAGGGACUCGUUGACAACUAGAGUGGUUUAAAGAUAUAAGUUUUUAUCUAGGCAUAGAAGUGUUUUACGAUGCUGAAGAAUUCAUAGUGACCACAAUGAGAUUUGAUGCGAAAGGUAAUGUCUUGAGUUGGAGAUUUGAGUUAGUACGUCCCGUGUAAAUCCUGAGGAUCAAGGAGAUCUCACCGAUAUGACGCCCAAGGAGGAAGAAGGGUAACACAAGCUUCUAUGAGACUUAGAGCCUUCAUCUGAGGAGGAGGAGGAUUGAUUACCUUCCUUUGUCUAUACCUUAGGUGUAGUUUAGUACUUUUAGUCGGGUGACGAUUGAUAAUUUCCAAAAAUACUUAACUGAGACAUGUGGAUUUAGACAAUUAUCUUAUCUUUUCUCUUAUUUAGGACUUUGUUUAUGCUUUUUUGAUGUAAAUUGUUAAUUUGCAGUUUGUUCUCUUUAACUUGUUAUUUUGUCAGAUUUCACAUGCUUAUUGAUGGACCGUUUUGUAGAAUUUUUGAAUUGGAUCGAAUAACAAUUUUUUGGAGCAAGGUUCAAUGAAAGCUUGAAGUGAAAAUUCCAGCUUAAAUGUGCUUAAGUUGGGGUUGAGAGUCCAUAUUAAAGUUUCUUUUUGGAGAAGAUGAAAAACAAAGUUGUAGAGAAAAAUUGACUUCAGCAAAACAACUUUUGACUUAAGUUGAAUUUGGACAGAGGUGCAAAAUUGCAGUAUUUGUUUAAGCCCGAAGUUUUUGGCUUGAGCAAACACUCACUUAAGCGCAAUUUUUUUGGAUCUAUAUAAAUAGAUUCUCUCGUUCAUUUUAGGGCACACUUCUUCAUUUUGUAAAACACCUUCUUUACUAAAGUUCUUCUUCCCCAACUCUUUUCUUCCAUUGUUCCUCCAUUUUCCUUGCUUUUGGAAGUUAUUCAUGGAGAUGGGUAGCUAAACCUUCCAUUGUUGAGGCUAGAUUCUUUCCCAACCUUAUGCUCUCAUGUAUUUCUUUUAAAAUAGUAUUAUAUAUUCAUCUUGUUCUUAAAUAUUAGCUUUUUACUUCUAUGCUUGAUGCUUGUUAUAAUUUGGCCACUCGUAGCUUGGUUUUUGAAUGAGAUUGUUAUUGGAAAAUACUUUCUUUAUCUUGAACUAUGGUAAAAUGCCCAUUAAACCUCAAAGCUAGGAAUAGGAUGAAGGAUAAUGGCUAUCUUUGGGUCGUUGAGCUUAAAGCAAGUUCAUUUGUUAAAUGUGCAAGGGAUUGACAUUUAAUGGACGAACUUUGGUCUUUUCACCUAAGGAAUUAGGGAUUAGAAUAUCAUUUUUGAACUAUGACUAAUAUUAAUAUUGGAUUACAAGUAGAAUAUCAUAUUUUAGCCUAAAGAAAGUUUUGUUCAGAGAAAUCUAACCCCAACAACCUUUAUCACCUAAAAUUUAUAUCAUUUUAUUGUGUGUUUAUCAAAAAUUCCAAAAAUAUCAUAACUUGUAUCUUUGUUUUUGCUUUUUCUUUAUUGUUGAAUGUUAUGUUCAAAUCAUCCUUGUUUAUUUGUUAGUUUAGAUAAUAAAAACCUAUGAUAUUUACUAAGUAUUGCGCAAGUCUUCGUGGGUCGAUAACUCUUAUUUAUCAAAUACUACUUGAAGACUUGGUAUGCUUGCCAAUGACUCAAUAGUUAUCUGCAUUGAUCCUAGGAUCUUUUUUGAGAUUUUGAUGUAUUUUGAGGGGUAGGAUCUUCACUGUAAGUGUAUUUUUUGAUGUAACAAGUUUAUAUCGAUCGUUUCACUACUUUUACACUUUGGAUUGUAUCCAAAUUUCUUCUACCAUGACACUAUUUAUUUGCUUUAUUUAUGUACAAAGAUUUUGCAUUAUAAAUCUAUGUUCCUUUAUUUACA